GACGAACGCUGGCGGCGUGCCUAAUACAUGCAAGCUGAGCGCUGAAGGUUGGUACUUGUACCAACUGGAUGAGCAGCGAACGGGUGAGUAACGCGUGGGGAAUCUGCCUUUGAGCGGGGGACAACAUUUGGAAACGAAUGCUAAUACCGCAUAAAAACUUUAAACACAAGUUUUAAGUUUGAAAGAUGCAAUUUCAUCACUCAAAGAUGAUCCCGCGUUGUAUUAGUUAGUUGGUGAGGUAAAGGCUCACCAAGGCGAUGAUACAUAGCCGACCUGAGAGGGUGAACGGCAAAAAUGGGAAUGAGAAAAGGCCCAAAAUCCUACGGGAGGCAGCAGUAGGGAAUCUUCGGAAAUGGAGGAAAGUCUGACCGAGCAACGACGAGGGAGUGAAGAAGGUGUUCGGAUCGUAAAACUCUGUUGGUAGAGAAGAACGUUGGUGAGAGUGGAAAGCUCAUCAAGUGACGGUAACUACCCAGAAAGGGACGGCUAACUACGUG
rnacentral:rRNA from 1 species